UAAAAAUAUAAGCAGAACAUGCAAUAUAAUAGACUGUAAUGGAAUAUUAUAUUGCCGUAAUUGAAAACAUUUGUGUGCGCCUGUGUAUACUCGAAUAUGCAACAAUUAUUGAUAUAAAAUAUGUUAAAACAUUAUAUGGAACACAAUUAGUGAAAAAAUUUGGAUAAAAUGCGCCUAGACAUUGUAAAUAAAUAGCGCGAAAAUAUAUUUGUGGCAACUCUGGCUGCUUGAGGACUGAGCGCAAUGCCUCUGGGGCGUGUACUGCAUGAGCGAACAUGCAGAUUGUGACGUCAUCGCUCAUCUUGCCGGCUCUAUUGUAACAAAAAAAUCACGAUUCACGGCGUACAUGCUCUGGGCCCGAGAAAUUCGUCCUGGGAUCAUCCAGGCAAACCCCAACAUGGACUUCUCUGCAGUCAAUAAGAGGCUUGGCGAGCUCUGGGCUCUGGUGCCAACAACACAGAAAUAUAACUGGAAGCGCCGGGCCAAACGCCUGGCUGCCAAAGGCAAUCAAAAAGGCUCAAUGAUUAGCACAGGUAAAGCCGCCAAGCAAUCUCAGAAUGCUGCUCGAAGCAAUCUCAUUAACAAAGGAGGCGUGAAGCCCCAGCAGGUGAUUCGAACCCCAUCUAAACAAUCGGAGGUCGGACAGUCUGCACCAGCCACGACUCACAAGGCCCACACCACUACGCCAAAAGACGUUACAAUAACGGACCAACAAGGAGAAGAGCCGGCAGGAGACUCCGUAGUCUCCAAAACGAACAGUAAGAAAAUGGCCCACCAGAAGGCUGAGAUCAGUGCCUCGGUUACAGCACUAACUGUUGGUAGUACUGGAAAGAGGACUCGAAAACGGAAAGUAACUUGCAGAGACGUUAGAAUAACGGACCAUCAAGGAGCAGUUUCGGCACGAGAGACUGCAGUCUCCAAAACGAACAGUAAGAAAAUGGCCCACCAGGAGGCUGAGAUCAGUGCCUCAGUUACAGCUCUAACUGUUGGUAGUAUUGGAAAGAGGACUCGAAAACGGAAAGUAACUUGCAGAGACGUUACAAUAACGGACCAUCAAGGAGAAGAACUGGCAAGAGACUCCGCAUUCUCCAAAACGAACAGUAAGAAAAUGGUCCACCAGGAGGCUGAGAUCAGUGCCUCAGUUACAGCACUAACUGUUGGUAGCACUGGAAAGAGGACUCAAAAACGGAAAGUAAUUUGCAGAGACGUUACAGUAACAGACCAUCAAGGAGAAGAGCUGGCAGGAGACUCCGCAGUCUCCAAAACGAACAGUAAGAAAAUGGCCCACCAGGAGGCUGAGAUCAGUGCCUCAGUUACAGCUCUAACUGUUGGUAGUAUUGGAAAGAGGACUCGAAAACGGAAAGUAACUUGCAGGGACGUUAGAAUAACGGACCAACAAGGAGAAGAGCCGGCAGGAGACUCCGCAGUCUCCAAAACGAACAGGGAGAAAAUGGCCCACCAGGAGGCUGAGAUCAGUGCCUCGGUUACAGCUUUAACUGUUGGUAGUACUGGAGAGAGGACUCAAAAACAGAAAGUAGAAAGAAAGUCGAUUUGCUCCAUUUUAAAGUAUGUCGAAUUAGAAUAUCUGGAGAAGACAGGUGAAAUAUUUCGGUUCUUAAAGUCGAAACAUUGUGAAAGCCAUGUAGAGAUUCUUGAAGAUGCUGUUCGUAUGUUGUUCUACAAAAAAAUGUCUUUGUCUGAAGCUGCCCAAUUUUUCUGCAUAUCACGACAGCGGCUCGAGAGAGUCAUGACAGUCCUGUUCUACUUGAAAAAGAAGCCAACUGUCAGUACUUUUUAUAAGACGCUAGAGGAUGUUAUGCAAACAACCGAAAAUGACAAAUUCAUUGAGUGGAUGCUACGUAUGAGGAAAAUGGGGCGUCUGCCCGUAUUACAGGACACCCACUAUGUAAAGCAGUACCUUGGUCCCUCAUGUCACCCAAAGAAUGUGUGUAGAUUUUUGGGUGAGUUUGGGGAAAAACGCGUGCAAUACGAAGACUGGUGUACAAUGACAAAAAACAGCAUGAUGAAAUGGGAGGAAAUGUUGAAAAACUUCCUGUUCAAUGAAUAUGACAUUGUAGCCGAAAUGUUCUUGGUGAAGGAAAAUUCAUCUAGAAUUUUCAAUUGUGUCGAAAUGUUCCUCUCCCACACUCACGUUGCAAAUCAGGUUGUUAUUCUCCGAGGACACAGAAACAUGUACAACUUUGUGUGUCCAAGCCGAAGAGGUAUAAGGGUGAUGGCGACAUUCUCUGCUUCAGGCCUGUACUUAAAACCCUUUUUCCUGCAGAAAGGAUAUCAUAUACCAUUAUGGAAUGAUCCUGAGUUCAUUGACCAGUCUAAGUUUCACACAGGUGCUUCUGGAAAUGGGGAGAUAGACCCUUUGUUGUUUGUGACGUGGUUGAGACUUUUCAAUACAGAACUUGUGGAGCAGGGGAUUGAGAAGCCAGUGUUGCUGCUCGUUCAUGGGCACCCAUGCCAUGCAAGUCUGGAUGCCUCCACCUUCUGCAAAGAGGAAGGUAUAAUACUUUACUCUCAUUACCAUACUCCCCUCAAUGUCUUGGAUCCUUUCUCGAGAAUGUUGAGCAAGUUUUACUUUCAUUACGAGAAAAGUUUGAAUGUCUUUCAAAACUUUAUCGGAAAGGCAAAUCUCUCGCUGAAAUACUUUCCUAUAAUAUUUCUAGAUGCCUGGAAUAAAAUGAAUGAUGAAGAUCUUGCUAGUGAUGCCUUCGAAAAGAGCGGCCUAGUUCCAUUUGAUUUAUCGGUUGUCAGCCAGCAUCUAAACAUCAAUCUUGUGCAAUGUCCGAGGUCUGCUUUAAUGGCAGAGCCAUUACCAAUGUUUUCUCAAAAAGUGUUACCAGAUGCUGGCCCUCUUCCCUUGGGGAACAUAUUGAAGGUGUCAGCAGUUUGUGAACCUUUGUUGUUUCACAAUUAUGCGCGCCCACCUAAAGAUCCAUUACGAGUGUUCUUCGAACCUUUACUAGACACUAGGCAAAAUUCCAGUGAUGUUAUUCAUGUGUAUGAAAAAUCUGCACAAGAUGAACAGGUUAUGUUUGAUAACGAUAGUGUUUUACCUAGCACGAAACCCGUGAAGGACAGUGUUAUAGAGAGUAAAGGUUACAUUAAAGUGACAAACGUAAACACCGCCACCACCACUGCACAAAUAAUGACUGCCGUGAAACCCUCGGACAUUAAGCUUGAGCAAACAUUGUGUGAAGAUAUUUUACCGAGUCAGUCUUAUGAAUCUAAGGAUGCGUGUUAUGUGAAGUGUGAAACUAGUAUGGAAGAGGAUCUCGACUGGGAAACUAUUGAAUUUCCAAGGGUUUAUAUAGUUAAUGAAAACUCCACGGAGGAGCAUGUGUUGCCCAGCCUAUCGUGGGACUCAAGGGAAUUAGAUAAUACAAGGGAUGAACAUUGUGCUAUAAGACACACCACUGACUGUCCGAAUUCGUGCAAUUGUGAGAAAAUUGUGUGUGAUGUCAGUGUGCCGAGCCCUUACGAUUCCCAAGGAAUAGAUACCGAUGAUGAUGAUGGUAGUGAAGGAGGGCAUUCAUCUUCAGAAACAUUUGAGUGUGUGAAUAAGCACAUCAAGUGUGAGUGAGCCACAUAAGAAGCUUCUUUACCAAGAAAAAAAAUUGGAAAGACAAUUGAACAGCAGCACUCCGUGACCCAGAACGCCUCGAGUUUCCAGUUACGUUUAUUAAAAGUUUAAAACUUGUUACAUUUGUAUUCAGAAGUUUAUGGAUAUGUUCUGUGAUAUUAAAGAAAUACAGUAUCUUUAGAAAAUACAGUUGUUUGAAGUUGAUUGUAUGUUCUGUAUCUAGGCAUUUGCUAAAGUCAUUUCCUUUUGCUGAAGAUAAGGAAUAAGUGGAUCUUGGACUUUACACCAAUGAUCAUUGGUGAUAGACAUCCCAUUGGCAAUAACAAUCGUGCCGAAUGGUAGCAACAGCUGAGCUGAACAUGCAACAACACCUGAACACCACAGAUAGAGUGGAAAGGUGAGCAAUUGAAGAAUCGACCAGAAAGAGACGUUCCGUUACAUUGAACGCUGACAUUUUUGCUAGCGUUCAACACGUCAAUGUAUCUUGUGACAAGGGAGAUGAAGAAGUGGUAAAAUAUGGCAUCCGAGGGAUGCCAUUAUUUGUCUAUACUGUACAAGCCAAGGAAGAGCGUGAAAGGGCGUUCACACGUGGUCAUGUCCCCGAAUUCCGUGCCUGAGGAAGAUUGUGCUCAUUUGUCUGUGUGUAGGUCUCACCAACACGAUGCAUAGGGCCAGCCGGGCUGCCGCUAAUGCCUCCAACAAUGAAAACAGCCCUCCCAGUGCUUAUAAGGUAACUGGCAGCUCACCCAUUGAUGUUGCAGCACACAUUAAACUGCUCGGUGAAUCUCUCAAUAACAUCGGAC
rnacentral:misc_RNA from 1 species